rnacentral:rRNA from 1 species
UACGAGGGGGGCGAGCGUUGUUCGGAAUUAUUGGGCGUAAAGGGUGCGUAGGCGGUUUGGUAAGUCUUAUGUGAAAUCUACAGGCUCAACUUGUAGUCUGCAUGAGAAACUGCCGGGCUUGAGUAUGGGAGAGGUGAGUGGAAUUCCUGGUGUAGCGGUGAAAUGCGUAGAUAUCAGGAGGAACACGUGUGGCGAAAGCGGCUCACUGGACCAUAACUGACGCUGAUGCACGAAAGCUAGGGGAGCAAACAGG